GACAGAGGGUGCAAACGUUGUUCGGAAUUACUGGGCGUAAAGCGCGUGUAGGCGGCAGCGCAAGUCGGGUGUGAAAGCCCUCAGCUCAACUGAGGAAGUGCGCCCGAAACUGCAGAGCUUGAGUACCGGAGAGGAUGGUGGAAUUCCCCAAGUAGAGGUGAAAUUCGUAGAUAUGGGGAGGAACACCGGUGGCGAAGGCGACCAUCUGGACGGAUACUGACGCUGAGACGCGAAAGCGUGGGUAGCAAACAGG
rnacentral:rRNA from 1 species